rnacentral:rRNA from 1 species
AGAGUUUGAUCAUGGCUCAGAACGAACGCUGGCGGCGUGCCUAACACAUGCAAGUCGUGCGAGAACGGGGGGGCAACCCCCCUAGUAAAGCGGCGAACGGGUGAGUAACACGUAGGUAACCUACCUCCGAGAUCGGGAUAACCCGCCGAAAGGUGAGCUAAUACCGGAUAUGACCACGGGAGUUUCGGCUCCUGCGGUGAAAGGUGGCCUCUGCUUGCAAGCGGCCGCUCGGAGAUGGGCCUGCGCGCCAUUAGCUAGUUGGCGGGGUAAUGGCCCACCAAGGCGAUGAUGGCUAGCUGGUCUGAGAGGAUGGCCAGCCACACUGGGACUGAAACACGGCCCAGACUCCUACGGGAGGCAGCAGUGGGGGAUAUUGCGCAAUGGGCGAAAGCCUGACGCAGCGACGCCGCGUGGGUGAUGAAGGCCUUCGGGUCGUAAAGCCCUGUCGAGGGGGACGAAACGGUUCCGAUUGAACAGGUCGGAGCCCUGACGGUACCCCUAAAGGAAGCACCGGCUAACUCCGUGCCAGCAGCCGCGGUAAUACGGAGGGUGCGAGCGUUGUUCGGAAUCACUGGGCGUAAAGCGCGUGUAGGCGGUCCGCUAAGUCUGGUGUGAAAGCCCGGGGCUCACCCCCGGAAGGGCACUGGAAACUGGCGGACUCGAGUCCCGGAGAGGAGGGUGGAAUUCCUGGUGUAGCGGUGAAAUGCGUAGAUAUCAGGAGGAACACCGGUGGCGAAGGCGGCCCUCUGGACGGUGACUGACGCUGAGACGCGAAAGCGUGGGGAGCAAACAGGAUUAGAUACCCUAGUAGUCC